rnacentral:rRNA from 1 species
AGCAGCCGCGGUAAUUCCAGCUCCAAUAGCGUAUAUUAAAGUUGUUGCAGUUAAAAAGCUCGUAGUUGAAUUUCGGGAUUGGCGCAUCGGUCGUGCCUCACGGGGUAUGAACUGGUGCAGUCAAUUUCUCACCUUCUGGAGAACCGCGAUGUCCUUAAUUGGAUGCCGCGGGGAACCAGGACCUUUACUUUGAAAAAAUUAGAGUGUUUAAAGCAGGCAUUUUUGCUUGAAUACAUUAGCAUGGAAUAAUAAAAUAGGACGGCAUGGUUCUAUUUUGUUGGUUUCUAGGACCACCGUAAUGAUUAAUAGGGAUAGUUGGGGGCAUUAGUAUUCAAUUGUCAGAGGUGAAAUUCUUGGAUUUAUUGAAGACUAACUACUGCGAAAGCAUUUGCCAAGGAUGUUUUCAUUAAUCAAGAACGAAAGUUAGGGGAUCGAAGACGAUCAGAUACCGUCGUAGUCUUAACCAUAAACUAUGCCGACUAG